CAGACAUAUUGAGUUUUUGAGAUGAUUAUGUUGUCAAAAAUCCAAAACGUUUGGUUUGCAAAAGCCUGUGUUGUUUUGAUGUUGUUUGACACUUAGUAGUCAAUAAUCCUUAGCUCCCAAAUUUGCACCAGCAGGAAGUAGGCAAUUGGAUCUUUGCUUCACUGUUGAAGCACGUUCUCUUCUGUGUCCACUUCAUAUAUGGCCAGAAAGAAUAACGGAAAAGAAAAGAAUCUUUCAGUGGCCAAGACAGGGCUCUUAUAGACAAAUGGACAAGGAAAUUCCCUUCAGAGACCAGAACCUGAAUUUAACCAAAAAACUUACAUUCUGCUGGAGCAUGGAUUCUUUGCAAUUCUUUUCCAACAGUAUUUCAUUGUUGAUAAAAUAAGGUAUUUGGUAUUCUUUUCAGAAUGUAAAACUUAAUUGUAUUUGACCACUGAGUAUUGGAUGUGAUGAUGAUAGUAAAUAGCAAAGAUUACUUCUCUAUUAAUUUAUAGGUCACUGGAUAGGGAAGGAGCCACAUGGAUACCUGUUAAAGAGGGUUGUCAUCACUCAGAGAUUCUAGACUUUGAACAGAUUCCAGUGAUGAGUGGAACUUCCAAUUAACUCAUGUGAAAGGAGAUGACUGUUGCAUAGGGGGAAGAAGGAUGCACUCCCACCUCUGAUAUUUAGCUAGGCAUGUAGGUCCCCCCUACCCUACCCACCUCUCUCUCUAUA
rnacentral:lncRNA from 1 species